UUUGGAGGGCAAGUCUGGUGCCAGCAGCCGCGGUAAUUCCAGCUCCAAUAGCGUAUAUUAAAGUUGCUGCAGUUAAAAAGCUCGUAGUUGAAUUUCGGGACCAUCAUGUCGGUCGUGCCUCGGUACGUACUGGUAUUGUUGGUUUCUCCCUUCUGACGAACCAUGAUGCCAUUUAUUUGGUGUUGUGGGGAAUCAGGACUGUUACUUUGAAAAAAUUAGAGUGUUUAAAGCAGG
rnacentral:rRNA from 1 species